rnacentral:lncRNA from 1 species
UUUUCCCUUGCAAACAAUAAAAGCGCGGUGGCGACUCUUGUUAUUUGAUCUCUAGUUUGUCAAUUGCUUGAUGAUCAUGAUUUUCCCGCUAUAGAAAUUAAGUGGCGACUCUGCUGGGGAGUAGUGUCCAGUGGGUUUAGCCUACUUUUUGUGUGAAUAUAUUUGUAUAUGUGUGAUGUUUGUAUAUAUGUAUGUGUGAUAUAAAAUACUUUUUGUGCUUGGUGAUCUCUGAGUGGUGAG